CCUACGGGAGGCAGCAGUGGGGAAUAUUGGGCAAUGGAGGCAACUCUGACCCAGCAAUGCCGCGUUAGUGCUGAAGGUAAUUUUAUUGUAAAGCUCUUUUCUUUGGAACGAAUCAAUGCCGGUACCAAAGGAAUAAGCCCCGGCUAACUACGUGCAAGUAGCCGCGGUAAUACGUAGGUGGCAAGCGUAUUUCGGAAUGAAUGGGCGUAAAGGUGGUGUAAGUGUUUUGAUAAGUUAGCUGUGUAUUACCCAGGGCUUAACUCGGGUGCUGCAUCUAAAACUGUUAGACUGGAGCACUUGGUAGGAUAGGGGAAUUCCUAGUGGAGCGGGUGAAUGCGUAGAUAUUAGGAGGAACAUCAGUGGCGAAGGCGACUAUCUGGACAGCAACUGACACUGAGGCACGAAAGCGUGGGGAGCAAACAGGAGUAGAGACCCUGGUAGUC
rnacentral:rRNA from 1 species